UGGGGAAUAUUGGACAAUGGGCGGAAGCCUGAUCCAGCCAUGCCGCGUGUGUGAAGAAGGCCUUUUGGUUGUAAAGCACUUUAAGCGAGGAGGAGGCUACUUGGAUUAAUACUCUAGGAUAGUGGACGUUACUCGCAGAAUAAGCACCGGCUAACUCUGUGCCAGCAGCCGCGGUAAUACAGAGGGUGCGAGCGUUAAUCGGAUUUACUGGGCGUAAAGCGUGCGUAGGCGGCUUCUUAAGUCGGAUGUGAAAUCCCUGAGCUUAACUUAGGAAUUGCAUUCGAUACUGGGAAGCUAGGGUAUGGGAGAGGAUGGUAGAAUUCCAGGUGUAGCGGUGAAAUGCGUAGAGAUCUGGAGGAAUACCGAUGGCGAAGGCAGCCAUCUGGCCUAAUACUGACGCUGAGGUACGAAAGCAUGGGGAGCAAACAGG
rnacentral:rRNA from 1 species